AAGCAAUUACCUGCACCAAUGAUUAAUUAAACUAAUCCUAAAACAAAUAAUAUCAAUACACUCUACUAAAGGAUGAACUUGAUCUUUAAUACUAAUCUCACUAAUCCUGUUUAUUGGAACAACCAAUUUAUUAGGAUUAUUGCCACACUCCUUCACCCCCACUACCCAAUUAUCUAUAAAUUUAGGAGUAGCAAUCCCUCUUUGAGCGGGGGCUGUAAUCUUAGGCUUCCGACAUAAAACAAAAAUAUCUUUACCUCACUUCCUUCCCCAAGACACACCUAUUCUUCUCAUCCCUGUAUUAGUUGUAAUUGAAACAAUUAGCUUAUUUAUUCAACCUAUAGCUUUAGCAGUCCGUCUAACUGC